CAGGGUUUGAUCCUGGCUCAGGAUGAACGCUGGCGGCGUGCCUAAUACAUGCAAGUCGAGCGAACGGACGAGAAGCUUGCUUCUCUGAUGUUAGCGGCGGACGGGUGAGUAACACGUGGAUAACCUACCUAUAAGACUGGGAUAACUUCGGGAAACCGGAGCUAAUACCGGAUAAUAUUUUGAACCGCAUGGUUCAAAAGUGAAAGACGGUCUUGCUGUCACUUAUAGAUGGAUCCGCGCUGCAUUAGCUAGUUGGUAAGGUAACGGCUUACCAAGGCAACGAUGCAUAGCCGACCUGAGAGGGUGAUCGGCCACACUGGAACUGAGACACGGUCCAGACUCCUACGGGAGGCAGCAGUAGGGAAUCUUCCGCAAUGGGCGAAAGCCUGACGGAGCAACGCCGCGUGAGUGAUGAAGGUCUUCGGAUCGUAAAACUCUGUUAUUAGGGAAGAACAUAUGUGUAAGUAACUGUGCACAUCUUGACGGUACCUAAUCAGAAAGCCACGGCUAACUACGUGCCAGCAGCCGCGGUAAUACGUAGGUGGCAAGCGUUAUCCGGAAUUAUUGGGCGUAAAGCGCGCGUAGGCGGUUUUUUAAGUCUGAUGUGAAAGCCCACGGCUCAACCGUGGAGGGUCAUUGGAAACUGGAAAACUUGAGUGCAGAAGAGGAAAGUGGAAUUCCAUGUGUAGCGGUGAAAUGCGCAGAGAUAUGGAGGAACACCAGUGGCGAAGGCGACUUUCUGGUCUGUAACUGACGCUGAUGUGCGAAAGCGUGGGGAUCAAACAGGAUUAGAUACCCUGGUAGUCCACGCCGUAAACGAUGAGUGCUAAGUGUUAGGGGG
rnacentral:rRNA from 1 species